AAGGUACACGAAUUCCUCCCGUUUCCAUCCUCCAGCUGCUAGGGCGGUGCCCUUUCUCUAUGCAAGGCUGGAUUCUCCCAUUAAUCCAGUCUUUCCUGCCUCCUCUAGCCUGCUCUGGCACAGGGACUGGAAAUGAAUGUCAUGUGGGCAAAAACCAACAUGGUAUUCUCUUAAAGCGACAGACCACCAAAAAAA